rnacentral:lncRNA from 8 species
CUGGCCAGUAUAUAAGGUUAAUUGUUUUGUAGUUUGGUCAGGGCGUGGCAGGGGGUAUUUGUUUUCUGUGGUUCGGGGUGGUGUGUUUGUGUAAAGGGUGUUUAAUUUAGUAAUUCCGGGUUUUGGUUUAUGUUUAGUAAUUCUAUGGUUAGUCUAGGUUGUGUGUUUCUAUGUUUGGUUGAUUGGGGUUGGGACUCUCAGUUGAAGGCAGGUGUUGUCUAUCUGCCUUUGAUUGAGAGUUCCAUAUAUUAGGGUGUGUUUGUAUGUGUGAUUUGUGGGUGAUUAUUCUGUGUAUAGCCUUGUGCCUUACCAGACUGUUUAUUUGUCGAGUGUUCGUUUUUUUGUGUUUUGUAUGUUCGUUUUGAAAAUAAUUAAAAUAUCAAGAUGAGCAUUCACGUACCUGCUGCGUUUUGGUCCUCAUUCACCGACAACAACCGUGACAGAAUCACCCACCACCAAAGGACCAAGCAGCAGAGGAAGGAGCAGACGGAGUUCGAGUUGGACUGGCGGGAGAAGUGGACUUGGGAGGAAGUUCUGGACGGGGCCGGACCCUGGCAUCAGGCUGGGGAUUAUCGACGCCCGCAGUGGGAAAUUGAGGCAGCCAAGGCAGAGAGGCGGUGGUACGAGGCCAAGUACGCGCAGAAGGAGAAGCACGAGAGGCACCCCCAAGAAAAUUUUGGGGGGGGGCACACGGGUAGUUUGGCUAGGCGUAAGAAGAGCCGGAAGCCAGCUACUCGUGGUUAUAUGGAGGAGCGUAUGGGGUUGAGAGCGCUAUGUUUCGCUGAGGAGCGCACUAUCUCACCCAUACGCACGCACAGUCCGGUGCGCGUUAUUCCAGCCCCUCGCAGGUGCCGUGCUAGAGCGAGCAUCCAGCCUGGUAGGAGGAUGCCUGCGCAGCGCAUCUGGUCGCCGGUACGCCUCCGAGGACCAGGCUACCCAACUCCCGCUCUACGCACGGCUACCAUCAGGCCCCUGCACAGCCCAGUCUGCCCUGUACGAGCACCCCGCUCGUACAGGGCUACUAGUUCCAUCCAGCCAAGGCGGGUUGUGCAGGAGGUAAGAUCUAGACCGGCUGUGCGCCUCCAUAGCCCUGGGUUUCCAGCUCCUGUCUCUCGUGCGGACCCGGAAGUGCGUCAACCCAGUCCGACUCGUCCUGUUCCCGCUCCCCGCACUAGCCUGGAGGUGCGUGUACAUAAUCUGGUAAUCCCAGUACCAGCACCACGCACCAGGCUACAAGUGCGUCAACCCUGCCUCGCCAGUCAACAGUCUUCAUCAGAGCUGCCCGCCAGUCAACAGUCUUCAUCAGAGCUGCCCGCCAGUCAACAGUCAUCAUCAGAGCUGCCCGCCAGUCAACAGUCAUCGUCAGAGCUGCCCGCCAGUCAACAGUCAUCGUCAGAGCUGCCCGCCAGUCAACAGUCAUCGUCAGAGCUGCCCGCCAGUCAACAGUCAUCGUCAGAGCUGCCCGCCAGUCAACAGUCAUCGUCAGAGCUGCCCGCCAGUCAACAGUCAUCGUCAGAGCUGCCCGCCAGUCAACAGUCGUCAGAGCUGCCCGCCAGUCAACAGUCGUCAGAGCUGCCCGCCAGUCAACAGUCGUCAGAGCUGCCCGCCAGUCAACAGUCGCCAGAGAGGUCAGACUGCGCUGAACUGCCGGAGUGGCCAGACUGCGCUGAACUGCCGGAGUGGCCAGACUGCGCUGAACUGCCGGAGUGGCCAGACUGCGCUGAACUGCCGGAGUGGCCAGACUGCGCUGAACUGCCGGAGUGGCCAGACUGCGCUGAACUGCCGGAGUGGCCAGACUGCGCUGAACUGCCGGAGUGGCCAGGGACGCCCNNNNNNNNNNNNNNNNNNNNNNNNNNNNNNN